CGGCAGUAAUCCNCCUAACGGAUUAAGUAUACCGCCUGGGGAGUACGGUCGCAAGAUUAAAACUCAAAGGAAUAGACGGGGACCCGCACAAGCGGUGGAGCGUGUGGUUUAAUUCGAAGAUACGCGANGAACCUUACCCGGACUUGAUAUCUAACAAAUCAUCCAGAGAUGGAAGAGUGUCUGCUUGCAGAAAUGUUAAGACAGGUGCUGCACGGCUGUCGUCAGCUCGUGUCGUGAGAUGUUNNNNNAANNNNNNGCAACGAGCGCAACCCACGUCAUUAGUUGCUAACGGUUCGGCCGAGCACUCUAAUGAGACUGCCUUCGUAAGGAGGAGGAAGGUGUGGACGACGUCAAGUCAUCAUGGCCCUUAUGUCCGGGGCGACACACGUGCUACAAUGGCAUAUACAAUGAGACGCAAUAUCGCGAGAUGGAGCAAAUCUAAAAAAUAUGUCCCAGUUCGGAUUGGAGUNU
rnacentral:rRNA from 1 species